rnacentral:rRNA from 1 species
CAACAAGUGGCAUGCUCAGACAUGCAGUCGACGCGAAAGUUCCCUUCGGGGAGCAAGUAGAGUGGCGCACGGGUGAGUAACACGUAGGUAAUCUACCUUUGGAUGGGAAAUAACAACCGGAAACGGUUGCUAAUACCGCAUAAUGCAGCGGCACCUAAUGGUGACAGUUGUUAAAGCGGGGGAUCGAAAGACCUCGCGUCUAAAGAGGAGCCUGCGGCGGAUUAGCUAGUUGGUAAGGUAAUGGCUUACCAAGGCGAUGAUCCGUAACCGGCCUGAGAGGGCGGUCGGUCACACUGACACUGACAUACGGGUCAGACUCCUACGGGAGGCAGCAGUCGGGAAUUUUGGGCAAUGGGCGAAAGCCUGACCCAGCAACGCCGCGUGAAGGAUGAAACCCCUCGGGAUGUAAACUUCGCAAGAACGGGAAGAAUAAGUUGGUGUGAAUAUCACCAACGAUGACGGUACCGUUUGUAAGCUCCGGCUAACUCCGUGCCAGCAGCCGCGGUAAUACGGGGGGAGCAAGCGUUGUUCGGAUUUACUGGGCGUAAAGGGCGCGUAUGCGGCCACCGCAAGUCGGUUGUGAAAUCUCCGGGCUUAACCCGGAAAGGUCAAUCGAUACUGCGGGGCUAGAGUGCAGAAUGGGCAACUGGAAUUCUCGGUGUAGCGGUGAAAUGCAUAUAUAUCAAGAGGAACACCUGCGGCGAAGGCGGGUUGCUGGGCUGACACUGACGCUGAAGCGCGACAGCUAGGGGAGCGAACGGGAUUAGAUACCCCGGUAGUCCUAGCCUUAAACGAUGAGUGCUUGGUGUCUGGGGUUUUAUAGUCCCCGGGUGCCGGCGCUUACGCUUUACCCAUUCCGCCUGGGGAGUACGGUCGCAAGACUGAAACUCAUAGGAUUGACGGGGACCCCCACAAGCGGUGGAGCGUGUGGCCUACAUCCACGCGACGCCCAGAACAUACCUGGGCUACUAGUGCCUCUGACACCCUAGAGAUGGGCCCUCUGGUAAACCAACUGAC